rnacentral:tRNA from 1 species
CGGGGCGUAGCGCAGUCCGGUUAGCGCGCACGCUUUGGGAGCGUGAGGUCCCCGGUUCGAAUCCGGGCGCCCCGACC